CGAACAAGUGCUCGUAUUCACAGUCGGUACGCACGGAGCAACACGAACAUCACUUUGGAGUCCCCGUCUGUGGCACCUGAUCAAUUUUGAAAAGUGUUAGGUCCGGUGGGAAGUUAAAGGGCCUGGAGAAGCCCCUGAGGACCGUUCAACAGAAACCAUACCAGGGCCAGACAAUUCACAUCUGCUGCGAUGAGACCACAGAACCCAGUGUGAAAAUUCCUAUUGAUGAUCUCCAGUUCCUCAACUAGAGCUGGAGGCUUAAGUGGGUGACAGCAGGCUUCUCUUGAGUUUUCACAUUCUCAUGCGAUCAGAGUGCUCCAGUUAAACUCUUGCACAACUGUGGAAAAGACAGCAAUUGUUGCUGGGAGCGAGCAGAGAUGGGAGGGCUCCAACAUUCUUUGCAGGGCAAAGACCACAGCAAUGUAGUAUCAACAUGGACGGAGCUGCUGAGGAGUGGAGCACUGAGGGAGGACCAGCGAGGAGACAAACACAGUCAACUCGACAGAAGUGGUGUGGUGAAGAAGUUUGAACAUGGUAGUGCUGGGGAGAAACCCCUUGGCCUCUGACCCCUCUGCAGAGCCUGCAGCAUGUAAGAGCUAAGUGCAGAGUAUUCCCUUAGUCCCACCCAUCCUACUCUGAUGUAAAACUGGCAGGCAGAAAGAGAGAUGGAGAACAAUAGGCCUUGCUGUCUGCUGUUCCGAACAAUCUUUGUCAACAUGCCAGUCUUAACUCUCCCAGCCCUCUCUCCCAGCUCCCUGAGUGAUUAUUAGCAUGCAAACAUGGAUGACUGCACUCGUACGACACAGCUCAAGCUCAUGGAGACCAUCUUCCCAGUAAGGAGUGACAGCAUCAGUCAUUUCAACAAGUGCCUCAAAACAACACAAGUUUACGUUCAAGUGCUGUUUGUUUCCUCUUUCAAAUCAACAAUCAGCUGUUUUUGAUUGUUGCCAAACCUUAACUAUGUGUUCUAUGUGUUGUUCUAGAGGUCAUGGACAAACAACGUAUUAUGUUCUUUAAUUUGAAGGGGUUUUUUUUUUUGUUUUUGUUUUUUUGCAUGUAACCUGGUGUUAUUCCCCCGUCCUCACCUGUACACGAGCCUCCGUCAAGUCUGUCCUCAGUGCCAGCUGCUCGCGGGCAUAAACAUCUGGGUAGUGUGUCUUCUGGAAAACUUUCUCCAGCUCCUCCAGCUGAUAGCUGGUGAAUGUGGUGCGAUUGCGUCUCUUCUUGCCUUUGUUGCUCUCAGCCUCACUUUUGUCCAGAGGGCUGGAAAGAUCAGAGCCCGGUUGCUCGUUCGGUCCCUUUAUGCCGGGCUCCUUCAGGUUCAGGUAGCUGCCUUCCAUUCCAGGAGGGUCGACACUCGGGGGCAACUCAGACUCUGUCAGGCUGCUGUUGUCUUUUCCUGUAUGUAUGAAAUUAAGGAGACGGAAAGAAGCAUGAAAGAUUAUGAUCAAUAGUAUUUUGUUCUUUUAAAGGAGCACCCCACGAAUUUUACACAUGAAGUUCAGUUUACUCAUCAGGAGGUGUAAUACUCGCUUUAUGAAAACUGUUGCAUGUUUUCUGUGGCUCUGGAGGGACUGUAGUUUGAAAAAAUGCCUCAGCUUGUCCUCAAGUUUUCACUUUUUAUUAACAGAAAGGCUGCAUUACAAACUGACAAAUUGAAAGUGUGAGGUUUGAAAGAAUUGGGCCUAAUGAAAGCUGUGAGCUUGUUAUGUUAUGAGAAUUUUAGGAUCCAGGUCUUUUGGAGCUUGACUUUUGCUAGAAAAUAAAAGUCAGGACAUGUCAGCCUCUGUUUUUUCUAUUUUUACUGCUCUUUAAAGUUGUGUCUUUUGUUAAACCCUAACUUUAUACCUCAAUUUAUGUUGAGGUAUAACAUUAAAUGACUGGAGUACCUCUUUAAUUCUGUGAUGUGAAUUGACGACACUGCUCAAAAACUUAAUAAAACAAAAUGAAGAUUUUAAAGUUCAUAUGUUACACUGUGGUUAUAAUAAAAUACU